GGAAGUAAAAGUGUAACAAGGUUUCCGUAGGUGAACCUGCGGAAGGAUCAUUAAAGAGAAUAUGCCCUUCGGGGUAGAUCUCCCACCCUUGGUUUAUAUUACCUUUGUUGCUUUGGCAGGCCCGUCUUCGGACCACCGGCUUCGGCUGGUCAGUGCUUGCCAGAGGACCCAAAACUCUUAUUAUUAAUGUCGUCUGAGUACUAUAUAAUAGUUAAAACUUUCAACAACGGAUCUCUUGGUUCUG
rnacentral:misc_RNA from 1 species